AGUCGUAACAAGGUUUCCGUAGGUGAACCUGCGGAAGGAUCAUUAGUGAAUCUAGGACGUCCAACUUAACUUGGAGUCCGAACUCUCACUUUCUAACCCUGUGCAUCUGUUUUAAAAUUGGCUAGUAGCUCUUCGGAGCGAACCACCAUUUUUCACUUAUACAAACACAAAGUCUAUGAAUGUAAACAAAUUUAUAACAAAACAAAACUUUCAACAACGGAUCUCUUGGCUCUCGCAUCGAUGAAGAACGCAGCGAAAUGCGAUACGUAAUGUGAAUUGCAGAAUUCAGUGAAUCAUCGAAUCUUUGAACGCACCUUGCGCUCCUUGGUAUUCCGAGGAGCAUGCCUGUUUGAGUGUCAUGAAAUCUUCAACCCACCUCUUUCUUAGUGAAUCUGGUGGUGCUUGGUUUCUGAGCGCUGCUCUGCUUCGGCUUAGCUCGUUCGUAAUGCAUUAGCAUCCGCAACCGAAACUUCGGAUUGACUUGGCGUAAUAGACUAUUCGCUGAGGAUUCCAGACUUGUUCUGGAGCCGAGUUGGGUUAAAGGAAGCUUCUAAUCCUAAAGUCUAUUUUUUGAUUAGAUCUCAAAUCAGGUAGGACUACCCGCUGAACUUAAGCAUAUCAAUAAAGUAAAAGUCG
rnacentral:rRNA from 1 species